rnacentral:rRNA from 1 species
UACGUAGGGGGCAAGCGUUGUCCGGAUUUAUUGGGCGUAAAGAGCGUGUAGGCGGCCACACAGGUCAGCUGUGAAAACUCGAGGCUCAACCUCGAGCUGUCGGUGGAAACCGUAAAGCUAGAGUCCGGAAGAGGAGAGUGGAAUUCCCGGUGUAGCGGUGAAAUGCGCAGAUAUCGGGAGGAACACCCGUGGCGAAGGCGGCUCUCUGGGACGGUACUGACGCUGAGACGCGAAAGCGUGGGGAGCGAACAGG